rnacentral:rRNA from 1 species
GACGAACGCUGGCGGCGUGCUUAACACAUGCAAGUCGAACGGAAAGGCCCUGCUUUUGUGGGGUGCUCGAGUGGCGAACGGGUGAGUAACACGUGAGUAACCUGCCCUUGACUUUGGGAUAACUUCAGGAAACUGGGGCUAAUACCGUAUAGGAGCUCCUGCUGCAUGGUGGGGGUUGGAAAGUUUCGGCGGUUGGGGAUGGACUCGCGGCUUAUCAGCUUGUUGGUGGGGUAGUGGCUUACCAAGGCUUUGACGGGUAGCCGGCCUGAGAGGGUGACCGGGCACAUUGGGACUGAGAUACGGACCAGACUCCUACGUGAGGCAGCAGUGGGGAAUAUUGCCCAAUGGGAGGAAGCCUGAUGAAGCAACGCCGCGUGCGGGAUGCCGGCCUUCGGGUUGUAAACCGCUUUCGCCUGUGACGAAGCGUGAGUGACGGUAAUGGGUAAAGAAGCACCGGCUAACUACGUG